AACGAACGCUGGCGGCGCGCUUAACACAUGCAAGUCGAACGAGAAGGCGUAGCAAUACGCUUGUAAAGUGGCGAACGGGUGAGGAAUACAUGGGUAACCUACCCUCGAGUGGGGGAUAACCCGCCGAAAGGCGGGCUAAUACCGCGUACGCUUCCGAUCUUGCGGGAUCGGAAGGAAAGCUGUCCCUUGGGGAUGGCGCUCAAGGAUGGGCUCAUGUCCUAUCAGCUUGUUGGUAGGGUAACGGCCUACCAAGGCAUCGACGGGUAGCUGGUCUGAGAGGACGAUCAGCCACACUGGCACUGCGACACGGGCCAGACUCCUACGGGAGGCAGCAGUGAGGAAUAUUGCGCAAUGGGCGAAAGCCUGACGCAGCGACGCCGCGUGGGGGAUGAAGGUCUUCGGAUUGUAAACCCCUUUCGGGUGGGAAGACGGCCCUAGACAACUAGGGCGGACGGUACCGCCAGAAGCAGCCACGGCUAACUUCGUGCCAGCAGCCGCAGUAAC
rnacentral:rRNA from 1 species